CCCUAGAGUUUGAUCCUGGCUCAGGAUGAACGCUGGCGGCGUGCUUAACACAUGCAAGUCGAACGAUGAAGCCCAGCUUGCUGGGUGGAUUAGUGGCGAACGGGUGAGUAACACGUGAGCAACCUGCCCCUGACUCUGGGAUAAGCGCUGGAAACGGCGUCUAAUACUGGAUACGAACAAGAAUCGCAUGGUUACUUGUUGGAAAGAUUUUUUGGUUGGGGAUGGGCUCGCGGCCUAUCAGCUUGUUGGUGAGGUAAUGGCUCACCAAGGCGUCGACGGGUAGCCGGCCUGAGAGGGUGACCGGCCACACUGGGACUGAGACACGGCCCAGACUCCUACGGGAGGCAGCAGUGGGGAAUAUUGCACAAUGGGCGGAAGCCUGAUGCAGCAACGCCGCGUGAGGGAUGACGGCCUUCGGGUUGUAAACCUCUUUUAGCAGGGAAGAAGCGAGAGUGACGGUACCUGCAGAAAAAGCGCCGGCUAACUACGUGCCAGCAGCCGCGGUAAUACGUAGGGCGCAAGCGUUAUCCGGAAUUAUUGGGCGUAAAGAGCUCGUAGGCGGUUUGUCGCGUCUGCUGUGAAAUCCCGAGGCUCAACCUCGGGCCUGCAGUGGGUACGGGCAGACUAGAGUGCGGUAGGGGAGAUUGGAAUUCCUGGUGUAGCGGUGGAAUGCGCAGAUAUCAGGAGGAACACCGAUGGCGAAGGCAGAUCUCUGGGCCGUAACUGACGCUGAGGAGCGAAAGGGUGGGGAGCAAACAGGCUUAGAUACCCUGGUAGUCCACCCCGUAAACGUUGGGAACUAGUUGUGGGGUCCAUUCCACGGAUUCCGUGACGCAGCUAACGCAUUAAGUCCCC
rnacentral:rRNA from 1 species